rnacentral:misc_RNA from 1 species
UACUCUCACACUUCCGAUCGUUUGGAUCGGGAGCGGUGGACUUGGGUGUUGCUGCUUACCGUGGCUCACCUCAAAUGCAGUAGUGCACCUUUCGGUUGGACAUAGUACGGCGUGAUAAGUGUCUUCGCNGNCNCCUCACUGAGGGUGGCCGAUCGGGAGCUCUGUGCUUCCAAUCGNNNNNGGACAAUCACUGACA